UGAAAUAAUGUAGGUGAGGGAAUUCAUCAAAAUAGAUCUUUAAUUCAAGGAAAUAGAUUUACAUUGAGAGCUAGGCAUAAGGGUCCUAGUCUCAGACCCGUUAGUGGAUUGCUCAAGUUGUUUCCGCAGAAAGAGUGGGCCACCACAUGCUAGCUGGGAGCCGGGGCAUCAAACAACAAACUCAAAACAGGUCCGAACUAGGGAUAUUCUACUAUUAUUAAAUUAAAAUAAAGCAUUAUAGUGGUCCUAAUGGAUAUCUACACAACAUGAAUUCUGCUCAAUGACAUAUGAAAGGAUUAAGAAGAUUCCUACUAUCCAGUGAAACCACAGCCAAUAAAUCAAACUUGG
rnacentral:ncRNA from 1 species